AAAGUAAACGUAUCAUUUAUGUACUUUUUUUUUUUCUUUUUAGUACCACGUAACAGUAAUUUGUGUGUACUGAACCAUCAACAUAUUAAACUGCAGAUCCAUACCGGCCAAGACUGGUGAUAGAUAUGUAUAGUAUUUUAGAUUGACGCAUGCUCAGCUGACUGGGGACUAUGAGUAUGGAAAACCAUUUUGCAGAAUUAGGAAUGUGCAGCUGAAAGUGGUCAAAGAUCAAAGGCCAAGACUGAUGUCAGCUUGAAAGAAACCACUCUGUGCAUUGGAUUUGCUAGAUAAAAGAUGAUGAAUUAAUGCACCAGAUUCAAGUCCAAAGAUCGAAAAGCACCAUUUAGGUCAAGGUCAACUCCAAAUAUUGAUUAAAACCUUAUUUGUACCAACAACUGAUUCCAGAUGAGGGCAGUCUUGAUAGGACACCCAUAAAAUAGCUAAACAGGAUUGAUGUGGAAGCCUGGAUGCUUAGCUGUGCCACUGAUUUCAUUUCCUGUGGAUGUGUGCUUGGUGCAACGCAAUAAGGACAUAUAACCCAUAGAAUUCACAUGAAUAAUAUGGAAAGAAAUUGCUGGAGAGAUUGCUUUGGCAAAACUCAUUUUCUAUAUUUUAGAAUAACUUUGUCAAAGAUCAAGUUUGUUUGGAUGACAUUUUGAUGCAAUAACAUUUUUUUAUGCAUAAAAUCUUGUUAUUUACUUAAAUGGUCAAAGGAUCAAGACACUUGAUGUGGGUUUUAAUGAAGCACACUUACUUUGGUAUUGUUAAGUUAAUUGGAAUAUUUUCACUUUGUAUAAUAGGUUGACAAUUGUAGAUUUCAUUCUCAGUCAAGAUUGAUAUUUAUGUUUUACAUCCAAACAAUAAACUCUUUUGUUUUGGACAAAAAAUUUAUUUAAACAUGAAGACUUUAUUCUGAAGACACACCCAAAGAAACAAUUACAGGUUAUUAAGGAUAAAUAACACAAACAAACUUUUUUUUCCAAAAUUCAGAUAUCUUUGCUAAAUUAGGUGCCUUUCUCACUUUGGAAUUAAUAUUUGUAUAGUUAAACAACAUAAUUUUUGGCCAAGGUACAUUAUUUGGCAAAAAGUGCAAAAAUGCAACUUUACAGUUCAAUAUGUUUUUUGAAAAGUUUAUAAAAUGUAUUCAGUUUUCUUGCUUCAAAGUUUCUGGGGAAAUUUUCA